UGGGGAAUAUUGCGCAAUGGGGGCAACCCUGACGCAGCAACGCCGCGUGAUUGAAGAAGGCCUUCGGGUUGUAAAGAUCUUUAAUCAGGGACGAAACAUGACGGUACCUGAAGAAUAAGCUCCGGCUAACUACGUGCCAGCAGCCGCGGUAAUACGUAGGGAGCAAGCGUUAUCCGGAUUUACUGGGUGUAAAGGGCGCGCAGGCGGGCCGGCAAGUUGGGAGUGAAAUCCGGGGGCUUAACCCCCGAACUGCUUUCAAAACUGCUGGUCUUGAGUGAUGGAGAGGCAGGCGGAAUUCCGUGUGUAGCGGUGAAAUGCGUAGAUAUACGGAGGAACACCAGUGGCGAAGGCGGCCUGCUGGACAUUAACUGACGCUGAGGCGCGAAAGCGUGGGGAGCAAACAGG
rnacentral:rRNA from 1 species